rnacentral:sRNA from 1 species
UUGCUGGUAAGCCUUUUCUAGGUCUAU